UUACAUUGUAAAAUGACGAAAAUGCUCUCCAUCCUUGAACCUAAAUGCGUCUCCUCGUAACAUCGUAGUAACAUAAUAGUCUUCAAAGUUCAUGAGAAAACAUUGAAGACUAUAAGAUUGAAAUCUAUAAAUAUGUGAAACUUACUCAAAGUUAUCAAGAGUUUCUUUUUGUGAUUUUGUGGACAGUACCGAUCAGGAUGCAGUGUUGUCCGCAAAUGCAGACGUUAUAACUCCGCUUUGCUAAUCUGAGGUGACCAUACGUGAUGUCGUAAAAACCAGGAAGAGAGAAUUUGAGAAGCUGGAGGCUGCUAAUCUCAUUGAUGGACUUUGGAUGGCAACACUGGCCAGUGUGCAACUAUGAGAGGAGAACUACAUAGGAAGACGCAUGCUGAACAUGCAACCACCAGGUAGAAGAGGAAGGGGGAGACCAAGGACAAGAUGGAAGGACUGCAUGUAGAAUGACUUUAAAAAGAAGGGAUUGGUGACACACGAGGUGGAGGAUAGGAAAAAAUGGAGGAGAGGAGUCCACUGCAGCGACCCCCACAGUGGGACUAAUAA